UUUUAAUCUGGAUUGGAAAAUUUUUGCUUCAAGGCCUUCAAGCGUAGAAUAAAUUAUUGCAAAACCUGACAAAAU
rnacentral:sRNA from 1 species